AUGCACCUCGGCAGUUGCCAGGAAAAUCAAACAGUUACUGAUUCCAACCAGAGCGAGGUUAUCCGUGAUUUACAAAAUCAGGUUGCUAUUCUUACCGACUUAGUUCAGGGUAAACGCAAGGAGCAUGUUCAGAGUGAACCAUCACGUUCUGAUGUUCAUGACAUUAGGGAUCAAAUCGGACAGUUAAGCGGUCUGAUAACUAGUAUGGCAGUCAGGGAAGUACCCACACAAAGAACCACAAAGACCUGAAAAUACAAGCACGAAUUAUGCAAAUACGUCUCGUUUUGACUCAGCUGAAUGUAGGAGAUGCAAAGGUCUCGGUCAUUUUCAAAGAGUUUGUAACUGGAACGGGUAUGGUCAAUUUCAACCGUCUGAAUCAAUGCCAACUUUGUAAUCAGAAUGGCCACAUUGCUCAAUCUUGUACCAAACUGGAGUUUUAUGCACAGGGAAACAGAACCAACCCGGGUGUGGGGCACAAUCGUCCGGGUUAACUUCGUCUAUUGGUGCCGAUUUUGAUAAAAAUUCAACUAAAGAUAAAUUUUUGUACAUAACUGUUUUAUUUGGUGAUCUAAGAAUAGCUGCAUUAGUUGAUACAGGGAGCUCUAUCAAUGUCAUUUCUAAAUCUUUGUAUGAUUCGAUAUCCGAUCGUCAUAAACUUUAUUUUGAACAACUAAGUGAAUCGGAAAUUCGAUUAGCCAACAACGAUAAAAUCAGAAUUAACGGAAUAUCCAAACUUCAAGCCACAAUUCAUCAGAAAAAUGAAAUUAUUGAAACAUAUAUCAUUCCCAAAACAUCUCAUCCUUUGAUUCUCGGUACUGAAUAUUUACGAGAAAAUAAAAUUGUUUUAGAUUUUAGUGAUUUUAGUUGUAAUCAGAAGACUGUGCCAGUUUAAAACAGUUAAGAGGAUAGAACUUGAACCGAAUACAGAAUACUUGAACUUUUGGGAAGUUACCAAAUUACGUUACAGUCGGAUUGCAAGGGAUAUGCGUAAACAGCAAAUUUUCAGUUAACCACAAGUUUUUAGUUGCCAAAUCUUUAGUUGUCGUUCCUGUCAAUCGCAAAGUUCCGAUUAAAUUAUUGAAUGCUAGUAAUGUGAAAAUAACGAUUCCAAAAGGCAAAAAUAUUGCUGAAUUUUCAACAUUAUCGAAUGAGUACACCUAUGUUGCAAUGUCUGAAAAACCGAGAUACCCGAAGUGCAGAAUAUUCAGUUGGUUGCUAAUGAAAAUGGACUGCGGACCGAUAAUUCCGAACAGCAAUGUGACAUUACAGACAGUCCCGACAGGCAAGAAAUUUUGACCAAGAUUAAGACAGAUUUUGAUUUAUCCGAUCAUUUAACACACGAUCAAAAAUCGAAUUAGCUGAAUGUUUGUUGGAUAAUCUUGAUUUAUUUGUGACGAAAGAAAAUCCAAACCUUGGAUAUACACAUUUAGUGGAGCAUAAAAUACAUCUGAAGCCGAAUGCUGUUGGUAAACAUCAUAAGCCGUACAGGUUACCCCCUUACAAACGUGAGGUUUUGCGUGAGCAACUGGAUAACUUGCUUGAACAAGGAAUAGUUGUGCCAGUUAGUGAACAAGAGGAGCUACCCAUUACAAGUCCGAUAGUAUUAGUCACAAAGCGAAAUGAAGCGUCGAAUAGUAAGACUUCAACUCAAAGUUAUAGGUUUGUUUGUGAUUUUAGACAUUUAAACGCGCAAACAGAAGAUUUUAAAUAUGUUAUACCAAACUUACAGGAACUGACGGAAUCCUUUGCUGAAAUAGUACCAAAUUAUAUAACUUCGAUAGAUUUAUCUUCCGGAUUUUUUCAGAUGGGCAUAUCCGCCGAAUCUUCAAGAUAUACCGCUUUCAACACAUGUUUUGGAACGUACAAGUUUUUAAGGCUGCCAAUGGGGUUAAAGACGGCACCUAACACAUUUCAGCUUCUAAUGGACAAGGUACUGCGUGGUCUAAAAUUCAGAACUUGUUUGUGCUAUUUAGAUGACGUAUUGAUCUGCUCUGAAACCUUUGAAAAGCAUUUAGACGAUAUCAAAGAAAUCUUUAAACGAUUUCGAGAUGCAGGACUAAAACUUGGACAGAAAAAAUGCCAUUUUGCAAGUGAGACGUGUAUUUUUCUUGGACACGAGAUUUCUAAACAUGGGAUAAGACCCCCAAAAGAUCGAGUGAAGGCUAUUGUCGACUUUCCAGGCACCACAGAAUAUAAAACAACUUCGUCGCACAAUUGGAUUAUUUAA
rnacentral:sRNA from 1 species